rnacentral:rRNA from 1 species
AGGACGAACGCUGGCGGCGUGCUUAACACAUGCAAGUCGAGCGGAAAGGCCCUUCGGGGUACUCGAGCGGCGAACGGGUGAGUAACACGUGAGUAACCUGCCCCUAGCUCUGGGAUAGCUCCGGGAAACCGGGAUUAAUACCAGAUACGACCACUUUAGACAUCUGUCGUGGUGGAAAGGAUUCCGGCUAGGGAUGGGCUCGCGGCCUAUCAGCUUGUUGGUGGGGUAACGGCCUACCAAGGCGACGACGGGUAGCCGGCCUGAGAGGGCGACCGGCCAACGACUGGGACUGAGACACGGCCCAGACUCCUACGGGAGGCAGCAGUGAGGAAUAUUGGACAAUGGGGGGCAACCCUGAUCCAGCCAUGCCGCGUGAGUGAUGAAGGCCUUCGGGUUGUAAAAAUCUUUUAGGUGUGACGAUGAUGACGGUAACACCAGAAAAAAGACUCCGGCUAACUUCGUGCCAGCAGCCGC